rnacentral:lncRNA from 1 species
AGUCUAGGACAUUCUCUUCAGGUGCUAGAAUUAUGUAUUGUACUUAGUGACUAUAUACAUUUUUCCUCGUGUACAAGUUUUUGACCUGAAUGCUGUGCUCAUGCUGCACUCCUCCCUAUCCUCUACUAGAAAGGUAGGCUUUGUUUUGUUGGUAGACUCUUUCUCUUGGGAACAAUAAUGAAUUUUGCUUCUGGUUUAAUUUUUCCCCUUUCAUGGGUGAAAAUGGUUGGGGUGAGGAGUUUUUUGUUUUGUUUUGUGUGUUUCCUGAAGUAGGAUGAAAUAUUGGGGAUGACAUCAGCAGUAGAGAUAAGGAACUGAGAAUUGUUGACUACCUAAACCAAUUUUGUGAUGUUGAAAGUGCUGCUGACUCCUGGGUAAGUGAGGAACCUGAGCAUCCUGUGAAGCCAAGCCAGAGACGGAGGAGCUCAGAGCCAGUCCUAAGUCAGAGGAGUUGGAAGCCCAAAGUGGUGCUCUGUAUGUGUAAUCUUAACAGUCAGUGUAUGUGAGA